rnacentral:rRNA from 1 species
GACGAACGCUGGCGGCGUGCCUAAUACAUGCAAGUCGAACGAGAGCGACCGGUGCUUGCACUGGUCAAUCUAGUGGCGAACGGGUGAGUAACACAUGGGUAACCUGCCCAUCAGAGGGGGAUAACAUCCGGAAACGGAUGCUAAAACCGCAUAGGUCUUCGAACCGCAUGGUUUGAAGAGGAAAAGAGGCGCAAGCUUCUGCUGAUGGAUGGACCCGCGGUGCAUUAGCUAGUUGGUGAGGUAACGGCUCACCAAGGCCGUGAUGCAUAGCCGACCUGAGAGGGUGAUCGGCCACAUUGGGACUGAGACACGGCCCAAACUCCUACGGGAGGCAGCAGUAGGGAAUCUUCCGCAAUGGACGCAAGUCUGACGGAGCAACGCCGCGUGAGUGAAGAAGGUUUUCGGAUCGUAAAACUCUGUUGUUAGAGAAGAACAAGUGCUAGAGUAACUGUUAGCGCCUUGACGGUAUCUAACCAGAAAGCCACGGCUAACUACGU